rnacentral:rRNA from 1 species
AGAGUUUGAUCAUGGCUCCGAGUGAAUGCUAGCGGAAGGCUUGACACAUGCAAAUCGAACGGCGUGAAAACGCGCAGUGGUGUCUUGGUGAGUAAUAUAUGGGGAUCGAAGCCUGGUUUCUGGGAUUUAAAAUACCGAUUAAAAGAUUUAAAUUGCCCAGGCUAGACCUCGUUUUAUAAUUAGGUAGUUGGUAGUGUAAUAGACUGCCAAGCCAUCGAUGUUUAGCUGGUUUGGGAGAACGAUCAGCCACAAUGGGACUGAAAUACCGCCCGUCUUCUUCGAGGGGGCAGCAGUGGGGAAUCCUGGACAAUGAGCGAAAGCUUGAUCCGGCAAUUCUGCAUGUAUGAUGAAGGCCCUGACACGUCGUAAAGUACUAACAUCGAGGAUAAUAAUGACGGUACUCGAUUAAGAAGUCCUGACUAACUUCGUGCCAGCAGUCGCGGUAAAACGGAGAGGACAAGUGUUAUUCGUAUUGACUGGGUGUAAGGGUACGUAGGUGGUUGUUUAAGUUAGAAAUGAACAAACGAAUUUCUAAAACUAUCCGACUAGAGUUAUGGGGAGGAAAGCGGUACUUCCAGUUUAGAAGUGAUAUUCGUUUGAGAUUGGGGGGACCAACACUAGGCGACGGCUGCUUUUCAUUCAUAGACUGACACUGAGGUACGAAAGCGUGGGGAGCGGACGGGAUUAGAUACCCUGGUAGUCCACGCCCUGACCGAUGAAUAUUAAUCGUUCGCUUUUUAGCGGGUGAUUGAGCUAACGCGUAAAUAUUCCACCUGAGGACUACGGCCGCAAGGUUAAAACUCAAAGAAAUUGGCGGAAGAUUGUUUAAGCGGUGGAGUAUGUGGUUUAAUUUGAUAAUACGCAGAGAACCUUACCAAUCCUUGAGGAUACGUAAAUACGAGUGUAAUUACUUUUUUCGGCUUAGACUCUUAACGGGAGAUAAGCUAGACGUAUUCCAGGCGUUGCAUGGCUGUCGUAAGUUCGUGUCUUGGGAUGUGUGGUUAACUCCAUGAACGGACGCAACCCUUGUCCCUAAUUACUUUAGGGAGCUGAUUUGAGAGACCUUGUGGAAGCAGAGGAGUAUGUCAAGUCAUUAUGACCCUGAUGGAUUGGGCUACACACGUACUACAAGGGUAAUUACAAAGAGAAACAAGACCGCGAGGUGGAGUGAAUCUCGAAAUGUUACCAUAGUUCGGAUUGUUUUUUGCAAUAAAAACAUGAAGGCGGAAUCGCUAGUAAUCGCGGAAUAGAAUGUCGCGGUGAAUAAUAAGACCGAUCUUAGUACACACCGCCCGUCACGCCAUGGGAGUUGGCGUAGUUUGAAGAGCUAAGCAUGUGUUUUCAAAGGGCCCGGUUUCGUUUGAUUGAAUUAAAAUAUCGGCCUCGUGGCAUGUGAACUGGUGUCGACAAUUACGUUGGUAACUGGGGUGAAGUCGUAACAAGGUA